ensembl:antisense Gm13629 predicted gene 13629
AGCAAGAGUAAGAAGUAUUGGCAGCAGCAAGCAGGCGGGCAGGCUGAGAUCUUGCAUGGAAAUCAUGAACCAGGUCUUGCUUUUCGUUUUUGAAACGUUUUGGAAGGAGAGUUAUGAAUAGCCCAGAAAUAGGUCUCAUUUUGUGGGUAGGAAGAAUGACCAGAAGCAUGAAAGCUAAAUCUCCUGGCAAGUGCAGGGGACCUCUCUUGGAGUGUGCAGUAAACCCGAGGGGACGACUUCGCCUGCUGUCAACUCCUGAACCAUCACAUCUGGAGUGAAGGAAGGGGCUGGUGAAGCCUUGUAAUAAAUGCAAAGGAUGCGGCUGAGAGCUUUGGUCUGCCUUUAACUCAUUGUGGCAAAGUUGGACAUCCCAAAGAUGGCGUAGAUGAACAUGACGAGGAAAAGCAGGAGGCCGAUGUUGAACAGCGCAGGAAGGGACAUCAUCAGAGCAAAGAGCAGCGUGCGGAUCCCCUUGGCGCCUUUGAUCAGGCGUAGGAUUCGUCCAAUCCUGGCCAAUGCUACUCCCAGUCUUCACUGAGAAACUGCUCUAGCCAGUGAACGACAGUGAAUGAAGAAAUGCCUGGCUGCUCGAGACACCGAGAGUGACAGCUGCGUGCUCAGCUCAGGAGGACGUUCAUAUCCUUCUUCAAGGCUCUAGGAACAAAGCGUGGUGAUGACAGGAAGACAGUAAGAGCCCAGGACAUAGGGAUGGGAGCUAUGAAGCUCUGUGCUGUACCAAGGACACAAUCAAUGUAAUCGCGGCACCAUAACAGAGGUCAGCAGUGGGUUCGUGCAAUACUGAGCGGGUCAGCAUUCAUUCAUUCAUAUACAGAGAGGGCCCAUGCAGCCACAUCUUCUCUGCUGAAUUAUGAGCUACCGAUGGAUUGUGGGAGAAACAAACAUUCUCUUCAGCCUUGGGCCCACUUCUGAGUUCACCAGGUUAAAGUGAAUAGUCGCUAAUCCAUGGACACAGACGGCCCUGAUUAAACGCAGUGGGUUAGG